UACAGAGGGCUCAAGCGUUGUUCGGAUUCAUUGGGCGUAAAGGGUGCGUAGGUGGCAUGGUAAGUUGAAGGUGAAAUCUCGGAGCUCAACUCCGAAACUGCCUUCAAUACUGCUGUGCUUGAGGACUGUAGAGGAGAAUGGAAUUCACGGUGUAGCAGUGAAAUGCGUAGAUAUCGUGAGGAAGACCAGUGGCGAAGGCGAUUCUCUGGGCAGUUCCUGACACUGAGGCACGAAGGCUAGGGGAGCAAACGGG
rnacentral:rRNA from 1 species